UGGUCUUUGAUUUUUUGGCGUGGGAUUCGCCAUUUUGUUGACGGUCCUUUUAUAAGGCAGUGAUAAUAGUAGGGAAAGUAAUAUAGUCCACAAAAAAUGAAUGUUAAAGGAGAUACUUACAGCGAAGAUAUAUUUGAUUACAUUAAAGUAAGCGAAGAUGAAGAUGACAUUAACGCUGUGGAAAUUCCCUGCGAACAUGACGGCACUCUUCUCCUUUCAACGCUUGUAGCGCAGUUUCCCGGAGCGUGUGGCCUUAAAUAUCGACACCCUGAAACGAAAUCGAUUAGAGGUAUAAGACUAAACGAUGGAAAACUUCAUCCUCCAACAGAAGCCGGAUGGGGCAAAACCUUGUAUAUUUGUGUAUUUCCCAAAGAAAACAAACGUAAGAUGGAUGAUGUAUCAUCAGAAAAUUCAGCAGCGAAAACCAAACGCUUAGAGAAAAAACUUACUUGUUCCGACUUGAUUUGUCUCGGUUUGCCGUGGAAGUCUACAGAAGAAACUAUAAAACAAUACUUUGAACAAUUCGGUGAAGUAGUAAUGGUUCAACUAAAAAAAGAUAAAAAUGGUUCUUUUAAAGGUUUCGGCUUUAUCCGUUUUGCCACGUACGCUUCACAAAUGAGAGCUUUAGCACAAAGGCAUAACAUCGACGGCCGUUGGGUUGAUGUGCGCAUCCCUAACUCCAAAGAGGGUGUAGUCCCACAGAUGCCAUGUAAAGUCUUCGUGGGCCGAUGUACUGAAGAUAUGACAGCAGAUGAUUUAAGAGAAUAUUUUUCGAGCUUUGGUGAAGUUACAGAUGUAUUUGUACCACGUCCAUUUAGGGCAUUUGGGUUUGUAACAUUCUUAGAUCCAGAAGUUGCACAAAGCUUAUGUGGCGAAGAUCAUGUCAUUAAAGGUGCUUCAGUGUCAGUGUCAAGUGCAGCUCCCAAAAUCAAAAACAAGUCAAACCAAAACUGGAAAGAUGACUCAUAUGGACCAAACUGGGAUGGAAACCGAUCUGGCCCAUCUGGCGGCCAUAACAAUGGAGGUAAUAGUAACAUAGAUUCUCUUAACAUGCAAAAUUUGGGGAUCAACCCUAAUGGUGGAGGGCCACCUCCUAAUUUUAAUUUACCAAUAAGUCUUGUCGCUGCUGCCCUUAAUCAAGCGGGAUGGGGUGGAUUUUUAGGCGGUCCUGGUAAUUCUGGACCUAACAACUGGCAAGGUGGGCCACCUCAAGGCAACUCGGGCAAACAUUGGAAUAACAACCAAAACUGGGGUCCAAAUGGACCACCACAGCCUUGGAAUCAUGGUGGUCCAGGUUGGAAUGGUAAAGGCAACUGGAACCAAGGAAACUGGUCAAAUGGACAAGGAAAUUGGGGAGGUAACAGUGGGGGUGGCUCUGGCCAGUCCGGUUCGGGUAGUGGAUGGAAUAAUAACAAGCCCCAAACGUGAGAAAAGGAUGAGGAGAUCCAUGCUUUCUGAGUGAGUGAAGUGCAAGACAAGCCUGCUGCUUGCGUCCAUCCGCUGAGAAUGAAGAAGGCUGCCUUUGAGCCUCUACUGCUACUUCAAUGUGGUUUGGUGACCUGUUUUAGAAAGAGGUGAUCCAUAAAACAUAAAAACCUUGAAUGCAUUUUAUGGUAAUAUGCACAGGUGGAGCAAAGUUUUG